rnacentral:rRNA from 1 species
AAAGAUCUAAAUGUAUUAUAAAUUUUUUGUGUCAGAAAAAUUUUUUAAAUAUAUUUAGUUGUAAAAUUCUAAUCGCUUUUAUUAAUAUCUAGUAACUUUAGAAGUAAAUUCAGUUUAUGAUAAUUAGAAACAUUUUAUUUUUAAUAAGUUUUAAAAUUAUUUUUAAAUUUAUGGGGAUGAGCUCAUAAAUAAAUGCAAAAGAAUAUAACUAUUAAUAAUUUUUUUGUAAGCUUAGAAUUAGCUAUUGGAAAAUGUUAUAAAAAAUAAACUUAAAUUUUGGAUUUAAAUUUCUUUUUUCGGAUAUAAAGUUAAUUAAAAAAUUCAUUUAUUUUUGAAAAUAUGAUAAUAUUAGUAGAUUAAAUUAUUUUGAAUUGAUUGUAAAUUAUUCUUUUUCAUCUUUUAUAUAAACUUUAACAAAAGAACUAGGCAAACACAAUUUCCGAAUGUUUAACAAAAACAUUUCCUCUUAGAUGAAGAGGUAAGGCCUGCUCACUGAUUUUUAAAGAGCCGCAGUAUUCUAACUGUGCUAAGGUAGCAUAAUCAUUAGUCUUUUAAUUGGAGACUGGUAUGAAUGGCUUAACGAGAAAUUAACUUUUUUUGUUAUAAAGAUUGAAUUUAAUUUUUUAGUGAAAAAGCUAAAAUUAUUCAGAAAGACGAGAAGACCCUAUAGAGUUUUAUGUUUAAAAGAAUAAAUUUUUAUUAGAUUUAUGAAUUAUUUAUUUUUAUAUACAUUUUGUUGGGGCGACAUAAAGAUAAAUGAAACUCUUUAUAUUAAAAAUUUUUAUAAAAAUAUUUUUGAUCCUUUAUAAGAGAUUAUAAGAAAAAAUUACCUUAGGGAUAACAGCGUAAUCUUUUUUAAGAGUUCUAAUCGACAAAAAGGUUUGCGACCU